rnacentral:rRNA from 1 species
GCAACGAGCGCAACCCCUGCCUUUAGUUGCUAACAGGUCAAGCUGAGCACUCUAAAGGGACUGCCGGUGAAAAACCGGAGGAAGGUGGGGAUGACGUCAAGUCCUCAUGGCCUUUAUGUCCAGGGCUACACACGUACUACAAUGGCCGGUACAAAGAGUCGCAAACCCGCGAGGGGGAGCCAAUCUCAAAAAGCCGGUCUCAGUUCGGAUUGGAG